AAAACGACUCUCGGCAACGGAUAUCUCGGCUCUCGCAUCGAUGAAGAACGUAGCGAAAUGCGAUACUUGGUGUGAAUUGCAGAAUCCCGUGAACCAUCGAGUCUUUGAACGCAAGUUGUGCCCCAAGCCUUCUGGCCGAGGGCACGUCUGCCUGGGUGUCACAA
rnacentral:rRNA from 1 species